GAUGAACGCUGGCGGCGUGCCUAAUACAUGCAAGUCGAACGCUGAAGCUUGGUGCUUGCACCGAGCGGAUGAGUUGCGAACGGGUGAGUAACGCGUAGGUAACCUGCCUCUUAGCGGGGGAUAACUAUUGGAAACGAUAGCUAAUACCGCAUAAAAGUCGAUAUCGCAUGAUAUUGAUUUGAAAGGUGCAAAUGCAUCACUAAGAGAUGGACCUGCGUUGUAUUAGCUAGUUGGUGAGGUAACGGCUCACCAAGGCGACGAUACAUAGCCGACCUGAGAGGGUGAUCGGCCACACUGGGACUGAGACACGGCCCAGACUCCUACGGGAGGCAGCAGUAGGGAAUCUUCGGCAAUGGGGGCAACCCUGACCGAGCAACGCCGCGUGAGUGAAGAAGGUUGUCGGAUCGUAAAGCUCUGUUGUAAGAGAAGAACGAGUGUGAGAGUGGAAAGUUCACACUGUGACGGUAACUUACCAGAAAGGGACGGCUAACUACGUG
rnacentral:rRNA from 1 species